GACACCCCGUUAUGGUUAGGGUUCAGCGGUAAUAGAAAAGCUUCUGUGUUUAUAUACCAAUUUAGAUGCAAAGAAAAUUUUUUAGGAAGUGUUUAGUAAUAUUAACUAUAUAUCCCAAAAUUUUCAGUAUAAAAAGAAAUGUCGAGUAUAAAUAGUAGAUCCGAUGGCAGUAGCAAAUUAUGUUGCUACGCUCAUCCUGAAGCACCACUAAUUGAGGACUACAGAGCUGGAGACAUGAUUUGCUCAGAAUGUGGACUUGUAGUAGGUGAUCGUGUUAUUGAUGUAGGCUCGGAGUGGCGUACGUUUAGUAAUGAAAAAAGUGGUGUUGAUCCAAGCCGUGUCGGAGGAGCUGAAAAUCCAUUGCUUGGUGGGGGAGAUCUGUCAACAAUAAUUGGACCGGGAACAGGGUCUGCAUCCUAUGACGCAUUUGGUGCAGCAAAAUAUCAAAAUAGACGCACAAUGAGUAGCUCCGAUAGAUCAUUGAUUUCAGCCUUCAAGGAAAUAUCUACAAUGGCAGAUCGGAUAAAUCUUCCAAAAACAAUAGUUGAUCGCGCUAAUAAUCUCUUUAAGCAGGUACAUGAUGGUAAAAAUCUCAAAGGACGGUCUAAUGAUGCUAAGGCAUCUGCAUGUUUAUAUAUUGCCUGCCGACAAGAGGGAGUUCCUCGUACUUUCAAAGAAAUCUGUGCUGUUAGCAAAAUAAGCAAAAAGGAAAUUGGUCGUUGCUUCAAGUUGACUCUAAAAGCACUUGAAACAAGUGUAGAUUUAAUUACUACAGCGGAUUUCAUGUCCAGAUUUUGUGCCAAUCUUGACCUUCCAAAUAUGGUACAGCGAGCUGCGACAUAUAUAGCGAAAAAAGCUGUCGAAAUGGACAUUGUUCCAGGAAGAUCGCCAAUUUCAGUUGCCGCCGCAGCUAUAUAUAUGGCUUCUCAGCAAUGAAACGUUUGCUGUAUGAACACGUAGCACUAAAAAUGUGUAGUCUAUAUGGAGCAAAUUCAACAAGGUCUAUUUGGAUAAAGGCAAGUACAUAUAUAAAUAUUGGUAUUAUAACUUCGUUUAAUUAUAUUGUGUAUAUAAUUCAGACUCGUGGCCAAAUGUUUUGGGAAGUCGACUGCCAGGUGAAUUCAGAUGCGUUUUUUAAAAACAACUUCCGAAUGAAGCGCAAUUCUUUCAUUCAAUUGUGCAUUAUCUUGAAAGGUUUGGAGAAGAAAAACACUAACUACCGCAAAGCAAUUCCAUUAGAGAAACGCAUUGCUAUUACUUUAUAUGCUCUUGGCUCUUCUGCAGAAUACCGAACAAUUGGAAAUAUGUUCGGAAUUGGUAAAAGCACUGUCUGCUCCAUUCUAAUUGAUUUCUGUCAUGAAGUCUGGCGUUGUUUGUGGCCUUUGUAUUUGAAUAAAUUCCCAAUGAACGAAAUUCAAUUGCGCGAGUAUUUAAAUGGUUUUGAGUCAUUGGGUUUCCUUCAAGUGUUAGGAGCUAUAGAUGGUUGUCAUAUAGAAGUUCGCCCAGCUGCAGAAGAUGCUGUUGACUACUAAAAUUACAAAGGCUGGUAUUCCACAGUUCUUUUGGCUUUAGUAGAUGCAAGAUGUCGCUUUAUAUACAUUAACGUUGGUAGUCCGGGCCGUUGUAAUGACUCUUCAAUAUUUGAGAGAUCAUCUUUAAAAGGCGAGUUGGCACAAUCUACUAUAUUUAAAGACAUGAGUAAACAAAUAUCGUCAGUUAAUGUUCCAGUCGUUUUGUUGGGCGACUCUGCGUUCAAAUUUGAUGAACAUUUGAUGAAACCGUACCCAUUUUGUGUAAACCAACCUUUGGAUAUAAAAAAAAUCCAACUAUGUGCUCUCGAAAUGCCGAAGAGUAGUGGAGAAUGCUUUCGGUCAUUUAAAGGAAAGGUUUAGACGGGUUGGAAAAGGCUUGGAUAACCACAUGGCCAACAUAAAAGCGUGCUGCGUUUUGCACAACUUUUUAAAUGAGGAAAAUAAGGAAAUUAAUGAAAAGUGGAUUGCAGCACAACAAAUCGAAAACGAAUCUCGGCAGUUGCCAGAAGACGUCUCUAACAUUUGUGGAAAUGUCAACCCAAGAGCAGAGGAAAUAAGACAAGCAUUCGUUUCGUAUUUCGCAUCGCUUGACGAUGGCCGAGAGCAACCACGCGACGUAGAAGGUCCAUCGCUUGGGCUUGGGAGCGGCGGCUCUCCCUCUGUAUCGUCCUCAAUGUAAAUUGGUUCCAUGUCAACUGAAAAUAGAAGAAACAAAUAAAAGUGCUUCUGAACAUAAACGUAGUCAAAAAGAAAUUGGCGACAUUGCAGGUGUGGCUGAUGUGACCAUAAGGCAAUCGUACAAAUUGAUGUAUCCGCAUGCACUGAAGCUAUUUCCUGAGGAUUUCAAGUUCACUACGCCUAUUGAUCAACUACCACAGAUGUAGCUUUGUAGCUUAAACUAAUUAUUCGCUAUCACCAUUACAAUAAAUAAACAUAAAAUCUAUAAUUUGUAAUUUAAAAAUGAUA
rnacentral:misc_RNA from 1 species